rnacentral:lncRNA from 1 species
GGGGUCACAGGGAAGAGAAGGGCUCUCCUCAAGCGGGUGGAAGGAGGGAGGCCUCCCGAGGGAAUGAGACUCCAGGCCACUCCCCCGCAGCAAGGCAGGAUCACCUGCGUCGCGGAGAGCAGUUAGAGGUCCCUGGAGUGGAAAAGGGCAGUGGGACCUGGUAGCUUGGGUUCCCUGCAACUUGGGGUUCGACCUCCAGGCAAUGAAGUAGGGAUGGUCCUGCAAGUCAAGAUUCCAGUAGCAAGAGUGCAUCAGAUCUCUGUAAGGAAAAUAACUAACAUUGCUCAGUUCCCUGUAGAGUUGCAGGGCGCUUUGACGUUAUCUCCCUUGGUUCUCCAUCAGGUCGUAGUGGACUAAUUUUACAGGCGAAGUUAAGUGACUUACCCAAAACCUCACAGCUAAUAAACGGCAGAGCCGGCACCCAGCUGUACUGGCUUCCAGCGCAUCCCAUUAUCUCCAUAAAUCCCCCUGAUUCAACUAAUAUUAGACGCCCCACAGGUAAGAUGCUUCAGAGUUAGAGGGGAGUUGAAGAUACCUUUGCCUUCAAAGAAGUAAGGAAUGAAACAAAGAUAAAACAGACAAUAAAAGACAAACCAUGAUAGGUGCCACGUGAAAAGUGGCAGAGUACUGCCGGGAAUCAAAGAACCGUGUAUAUCUGUCUUGGGGAUAAGGAAAGAAACGCAGCAUGAAGGAGUAGGCAUUUGGGAUUGACCUUGAAGGAGACAGGGAGAGUUUUACAGCAAGAAGGGAUAGCAUGAGAAUAUAUAUGAAGGCGAAUCAGUGAAAGUUGUGUUGGGGAAAGAGCAAAGACUCCAGGUAUGUUGAGAGGUAGAAAAGACAAAGGAGUAUGGGGCCUAAGAUACCAAAUGGAUGAAUUUAUAUUUAAUUCAGUAUUUUGAGUUUUUAUGGUUCAGAAGUUUGGGGGAAGAAAAGGAAGGUUUUUUUUUUCUUUAUGCUAGUGAUUUAUCUGUGAAGGGAAGCAGAAAUCAGAGGUGGAAAAACUGACAGAUCUACUGUAGGCCAGGUAAAAGGUAAUGAUGAGUCUGACCUAAAGGGACAGCCAGGGGAAUUUAAAGAGCAUAGUUGAGAGAUGAUGUGCAUGCAGAAUCUAUAGAAUUUGCUAACUGAUUGAUUAAUUGUGGGUAGGAAGAGAGAAAUCAAAGAAAGUGGAGGUUUUGAGUUUCUAGAUAAUUGCAAGAGAGAAAAGAGACAAUUACAAAGGAAAGGAGAAGGAGCUACUUCUUGAGAGAAGAUCAGUUUAGAUUUAGACAUUUUAAGAAUUCAAAGGGUUGUCAAGACAGCCAGACGGACAUGGACACUAAUAAGUUAGAAAUAAAGGUUUUGUAAUAUGGGAAAGAGGACUGAGCUAGAAAAUAGACUCAUAGAUAAUCAGCCUAGGAGUGAUAUUGCUGUGAGAUAAAAGAAGAAAACAAAGUCAGAAUCUUGGAAAACACCCUCUUCAGAGUCUCGCUGCUCAAAACGUGGUCAGUGGCCCAGCAGCACUGACAUGAGGACCUUAGUUGGAAACUCAGAAUCUCAGGCUCCACCCCAGACCUGCUGAACCAGCAUCUUCAACUUAACAAGAACCCGAAGAGAUUUGUGCCACAUCAAAAAGUUUGAGAAGCUCUGAUCUAGCUGGACCCUGGACACGGUGACUCUGAUUCAAUUAUGCAGAUGACCACAAGCCUCUGGGGUUGGCAGAGCCACAAGAAAGAAGGUGCCUGGAUGAAGGAGAGCUACCCACUGACCUGGACACCCAAUUAUUCAUCUGUCUUAGAGCUAUUGGAAUCCUGGAUCAUUGUGGGAAAUGAAAAGCAUCUUGCAUGUGAAUAACUCACAACUUUAAUUCAUGGAACAAAUUGAGAAAUAGUCUUUUGGGGGUUUGGUACUCCCUGGAAACAUAAGAGUGCUUUGGGCACCUCUGGUGCCUUUCCAUGCCUGCCUUCUCUGCUGUUCUUGCUACUAGUGAAUUCUAAAUCAUGGCCAAGUGAUGCCAGCACUGGAUAAUAUUGGCUCUGCCCCAUAUCUCGAGGGAAAACUCUGGGACUUGGCAUUAUAUGUGUGGGAAUCUGGCCUUGGUUGGCACUCCCAGCAUGAUAGCAGGGUUCUGCUGUCUGAAUGUACUCUGGGGUGUGCGCCACAAUUUCUGUCAUCGAAAUGGAGAUGAGAGAAUAUGCCCUUGGUGGGGACACCCCACUGGAAUUAGAGUGAAGAGAUCAAAGCUAGAGGUUCUUAAAUCAAAGAAUGUCUAAUAGCAAAGACAAAAACUUGCUUAAGAGAAAUGCAUACAGGUACUAGACCUAAUAUGAUGAAAAAUGCUAACUUCAACAUAUUGAUGCAUGCUUAGUAUACUUUUAGUCCUGCAAAGACAAAAGUUUUUUGUUUGUUUUUUUUUGAGACGGAGUCUCGCUCUGUCGCCCAGGUUGGAGUGCAGUGGUGUGAUCUCGGCUUACUGCAAGCUCUGCCUCCUGGGUUCACACCAUUCUCCUGCCUCAGCCUCCGGAGUAGCUGGGACUACAGGCGCCCGCCACCACGCCCGGCUAAUUUUUUGUAUUUUUAGUAGAGAUGGGGUUUCACCGUGUUAGCCAGGAUGGUCUCGAUCUCCUGACCUCAGGUGAUCCGCCUGCCUUGGCCUCCCAAAGUGCUGGGAUUACAGGCAUGAGCCACCGCACCUGGCCCAGUCCUGCCAAGACAAAGUUUUAAAACACAGGUUGCACAUUGGCAGCUCUCAAGCCAAAUCUGGCCCAUAGACAUGGUUUGCUUGGCCUAUAAUGUUAGUAAUACUUGACCCAAGAUUUAAAAUUUGAAAAGUUUCAUAUAAAAAUAUAGAUUUACAGCUUUUCUAGAAAAACUAUAAGAGUUAACAGUUUCUGAAUUGCAACAGCAGCUGGAACACCGUUGCCACUGACCAUUUAGAUGACUGCUGCAGUCCCCACGGCUCACUCUGGUUCAGGUAGGGGUUCUAGUUUGUAACCCCUGGUUUAAAACAUAACUGACUCUCUAGUUUUUAAAAUUCUCUCAAAAUCAAAUAACCUGAACUAGCAAAUGAUCUAGAUCCUCGUACAUGGAACUCAUACUAAGUUGACCACAGACAGUGGCUCCCAAACUCUGCAGUACAUCAGAGUCACUGGGAAGCUUUAAAAAAUCCUGCUCCCUAGCUGGGUGCAGUGGUUUAUGCCUGUAGCCCCAGCUACUUGAGAGGCUGAGGUGGGAGGAUUGCUCAAGCCCAGGAGUUUGAGGCUGCAGUGAGCCAUGAAUGUACCACUACACUCCAGCCUGGGCAACAGAGCAAGACCCCAACUCUAAAAAAAAAUCCUGCUCCCCAGGUGACAGUAUCUGGGGGAAGGAGUAAGGCAUCUUAUUUUCAAAAGAUCAUAAGAAAAGAGGCUCAUUGCUGAGGCUCACUCCGGAGCCCACUUGGAUUCUUCACAAGAAAGUUUCCCUCUUCCAGAAUUUUAUAAUUGAGGGAACCGACUAGGGAAAGAUUAAUUUGCCCAAGGUCAAACAACUAGUAAAAGAAGUAAGGAUUCCAACCCAGAUCUUUUGACUCUAUUAUCCUUACAUAUAGUUUUAUAGUGAUUUAAAUUGAUACAAGGAUAGGUUUAAAUACAAGUAGAAUGCAGGUUCAUAUAAAACUGAUUUUAUCCUCAUGUUAGAAAACAUAUACACUGUAACAGAGGGAUGACCAUCAAGUGACCAAGAUAUUUUAGUCAAAAGAUGAAUUUUUCUGCAAUUGGAGAAUGCCAAAAAUAUUCAAAGAAAAUAUAAGUCUUGUAGGCAGUCUUCUAUCAAAACCCACUGAACCGCUGGGCACGGUGGCUCAUGCCUGUAAUUCCAGCACUUUGGGAGGCCAAGGCUGGUGGAUCACCUGAGGUCAGGAGUUUGAGACCAGCCUGGCCGACAUGGUCUCUACUAAAAAUACAAAAAAUUAGCUGGGCCUGGUGGCGGCACCUGUAAUCCCAGCUACUGAGGAGGCU